GUGAUUAUGGUGUAAUAGGUUAGCACUACGAUUUGUGAUGUCGUCAGCCUGAGUUCGAGUCUCAGUGAUCACACCA
rnacentral:tRNA from 1 species